AUUGAACGCUGGCGGCAUGCUUUACACAUGCCAGUCGAACGGUAACAGGCCGCAAGGUGCUGACGAGUGGCGAACGGGUGAGUAAUGCAUCGGAACGCGCCCAGCCGUGGGGGCUAACUACUCGAAAGAGUAGCUAAUACCGCAUACGAUCUAUGGAUGAAAGCGGGGGACCGUAAGGCCUCGGGCGAUUGGAGCGGCCGGUGUCGGAUUAGGUAGUUUGUGGGGUAAAGGCUCACCAAGCCAACGAUCUGUAGCGGUUCUGGGAGGACGACCAGCCACACUGGAACUGGGACACGGCCCAGGCGCCUACGGGAGGCAGCAGUGGGGAAUUUUGGACAAUGGGCGCAAGCCUGAUCCAGCAAUGCCGCGUGCAGGAAGAAGGCCUUCGGGUUGUAAACUGCUUUUGUACGGAACGAAACGGCUCUGGUUAAUACCCGGGGCUAAUGACGGUACCGUAAGAAUAAGCACCGGCUAACUACGUG
rnacentral:rRNA from 1 species